rnacentral:tRNA from 1 species
GACGGCUUAGCUCAGUGGUAGAGCAGGUUUGUACUAUGACUGUGACAUGGGUUCAACUCUCAUAGUUGUCC